rfam:Synechococcus sp. CC9311, complete genome.
UCAAAAGUGAGGAGGGCUUCUUCACGGAGUGGAAACUAGGUAACACGCCCAAAGAGAAGCCGAGA